rnacentral:misc_RNA from 1 species
GACGAACCGUGCGAACGUUGUUCGGAAUUACUGGGCGUAAAGCGCGCGUAGGCGGACUAUUAAGUCAGGGGUGAAAUCCCGGGGCUCAACCCCGGAACUGCCCUUGAUACUGGUAGUCUGGAGUUCUGGAGAGGUGAGUGGAAUUCCGAGUGUAGAGGUGAAAUUCGUAGAUAUUCGGAGGAACACCAGUGGCGAAGGCGGCUCACUGGCCAGAUACUGACGCUGAGGUGCGAAAGUGUGGGGAGCAAACAGG